CGGGAGGCAGCAGUGGGGAAUAUUGGACAAUGGGCGCAAGCCUGAUCCAGCCAUGCCGCGUGAGUGAUGAAGGCCUUAGGGUUGUAAAGCUCUUUUGUCCGGGACGAUAAUGACGGUACCGGAAGAAUAAGCCCCGGCUAACUUCGUGCCAGCAGCCGCGGUAAUACGAAGGGGGCUAGCGUUGCUCGGAAUCACUGGGCGUAAAGGGCGCGUAGGCGGCCGAUUAAGUCGGGGGUGAAAGCCUGUGGCUCAACCACAGAAUUGCCUUCGAUACUGGUUGGCUUGAGACCGGAAGAGGACAGCGGAACUGCGAGUGUAGAGGUGAAAUUCGUAGAUAUUCGCAAGAACACCAGUGGCGAAGGCGGCUGUCUGGUCCGGUUCUGACGCUGAGGCGCGAAAGCGUGGGGAGCAAACAGGAUUAGAUACCCUGGUAGUCCACGCCGUAAACGGUGAAUGCCAGCCGUUGGCCUGCUUGCAGGUCAGUGGCGCCGCUAACGCAUUAAGCAUUCCACCUGGGGAGUACGUUCGCAAGAAUGAAACUCAAAUGAAUUG
rnacentral:rRNA from 1 species